CGGGGUGCAGCAGGCGCGAAAACUUUACAAUGCGGGAAACCGUGAUAAGGGAACUCCGAGUGUCCGUAAAUGCGGACUGUCCGUAUGUUUAAAAAGCAUGCGAAGAAAGGGCCGGGCAAGACCGGUGCCAGCCGCCGCGGUAAUACCGGCGGCUCGAGUGGUGGCCACUAUUACUGGGCUUAAAGCGUUCGUAGCUGGGUCGUUAAGUCUCUUGGGAAAUCUACCGGCUUAACCGAUAGGCGUCCAAGGGAUACUGGCGAUCUAGGGACCGGGAGAGGUGAGGGGUACUUCAGGGGUAGGAGUGAAAUCCUGUAAUCCUUGGGGGACCACCUGUGGCGUAGGCGCCUCACCAGAACGGCUCCGACAGUGAGGGACGAAAGCUGGGGGAGCAAACCGGAUUAGAUACCCGGGUAGUCCCAGCCGUAAACGAUGCGCGUUAGGUGUAUCGAUGACCACGAGUCAUCGAGGUGCCGAAGGGAAGCCGUGAAACGCGCCGCCUGGGAAGUACGGUCGCAAGGCUGAAACUUAAAGGAAUUGGCGGGGGAGCAC
rnacentral:rRNA from 1 species